AUUAGAUACCCGUCUAUUCAUGGCAUAAGACAAUAGUUGAAUAUUACGAACAACAGUUUAAAAUUCAAAGAUUUUGGCGGUGUCUUAUAAAACCAGGGGAACCUGUCUCAUAACUCGAUAAUCCACGUAUACUCAACCUUCCUUAGAUAUCAGCAUGUGUACUGCCGUUGUAAGCAUACCUUUAAAAGUAAGUAUGCCACCAUGAUUAAAUACCACGCACAUCAGGUCAAAGUGCAGCUAAUAAGAAGGUGAUGAUGGGUUACAACCCUAAAUAAGAUAAUCAACUAAGAAAUAAAAAAUUUUAUGAAAGUGGACUUGGCUGUAAUUAAUUUACAAGUUAAAGAAAUGAACAAACUCUAAGACAUGCACACAUCGCCCGUCACUCUAUCCUAAAGGAUAGAUAAGUCGUAAC
rnacentral:rRNA from 1 species